AAUAAUUAAAUAAAAAAAAAAGUCAGACACUUAACCGACUAAGCCACCCAGAUGCCCCAUGACUCAACAUAUUUAAUCAACCAUAAUUUUUUGUUUUUGUUUUGAUACUCAAUUUGUGGUAACCUGGCCAACGGCUCCACCCUUAACCUGGUUUCUGUGUUUUCUCCAGAAUUUCUAAAGCAUCAUUGCUUUCUGGCAAUAAAUGUUCCACACCAGGCUAGAACAUUACCCCAAGAAUGGAAUCAGCUUCUCCCCAAAGAUUCCUGCUUUCUCUCAGCAGAGGAUAAAUAGUUCAGGUUUUUCUGUUAUGAUAUGAAAUUUGUGUAUCUGAAAAACCUCACAUUCUGUAGAGUCACAUUAAAAACCAUGGGACUUUGAGACAUCAAACUGGGGAGACCACUCAAAAGUCAGGCAACCUUGUAACCAGAGUGCUAAGGAAAACAGUCACUGGUACCUGACAGUCACCUUGGAUGUCCCAGGCAGGCAGGGAGGCACAGCUAGAGGCUAACAAUGGUGGUUGUGAAAAAUUCACAGGGCCUCUUGAGUGGAAAUGCUGGCCACAGUUUAGUUAGAGCUGGGGGGUGCUGGGACAAUGCCGGCUGAACGAAAUCUGAGCCAGGGGCUUCCUAGGCACAGCAGCCAAGAGUGACUCAAGACUGGGAUGUACCAAUCUGGGCAUCCCCGGGGAGCCCGGUGCACGUGCUCAUUUUUAAUUUUCGUAAAACACAACUAAAGAAAUCCUGCUUUGCUUAGUUUGUGGGGUUUUUUUUUCUUUCCUGCUGAAGGUUCUAAUUCUACUCUUGCUCUGCCAGCUUCCCUUGCACAGAAAAAAAUCUGGUAUGAUCAAACUUGAGUUCUAGGUUAGACGGACAUCAUUUUUAAUCGCACGUGAACUAAUUCACAUGGUAGAAACCUGCUUCGUGAAGCCAUCGACUCUUCCCUCGGUGCACAUGCAGGGCACAUCGAGGGGUGGGGGCUGUCCUUCCCCCUCCUCAAAUCAGAGCUUAUUUGUGACUGCUUUAACCAAUGGAGACAGUGUAAGUGCACUGAAGGACUUCGGAGACUGUCAUAAGGAGUUUUACAGUUUCCGCCGCCCGUGUUUGGGAAGCUUGCUCUGGAUGAAGCCAGCUCCCUCAGAGGAAGUCCAAUCACCUUAAGACCACUGUAGCCUAAGAAAGCCCAAGCUAGCCAUGUGGAGAAGCCACAUGGAGAGACAGAUGCCCAACCAGCUCCCAAAUGUUCCAGACCUCCUAGCCUGGAUGCCAGACAUUAUGAAUAAAGCCAGUGACUUCAGCAACAGCCACGACCUGAUUGCAACCCUAUAAGAUCCACAGCACAAACAACUCAGCUGAACUCACCACCCUCCAGAACUGAGAGAGAUGAUAGUAAAAUGCUGUUUUAUGCCACUACGUCUUAAAGUGGUUUGUUUGCAUGCUGUUAUCUGAACAUAGAGGAAUACAUUGUACUGGCGUGUAAAAAUUAGGCAUGGGAAUGCAGACUAGAUUAUUUCUAUGGAGUGUGAGGCAGGAACUGGUGUCGGUCCCCUCAACCCGAACCACAAAAUCUAGCAUUCCUGGAGAGCUGAAACCCUAUGCCCCAUGAGUAGCAUUUCUUGCAGAAAUGCGGAAGCAGGGUGCUUGCCUCAAGGAGGGACUCAACUACAAGACUGAAGACCUGGCCAAACCUGUCUGCGCCAAGAUGGACCCCAGCGCUGACCUUUCACUGACUUUCUCCCUCAUCGUGAUACGAAAAAUGAUGCCCAGAAGUGGAGAUUUCACAUGCCACAACACGCGUGCAUGUUCUGGGCACUGCGCCUGCUCACCCAACUUCCUGUAUCUCUCCCUGCCCCAAAGGUCUUAGCGGUCACUCCUUUCCCCGCCUCUGCCCCUUUAAAAGCUUUUCCCCCAUUUCUAUGGGGAGUUAGCCCGAAGGACCCUUAGCUUUCUGUACUGCCUCCCUUGUGCUGGAGCAUAACCCCCUGUGAAAAGACUUACCAGGAACUCCCAUUUGGCCUCUAGUCAAUUUCUGUUGUUUAGUGAGUCCAAGGCCCAAGAGGGUAACAAGCAUAGCUUUGGGGUAACUCCAGGCGGGCUAUUUAGGGGCAGAGCUAGAAGUGAUCUCCUUUGUGUACAAGAGUUCACAUUAAUUCUCUGGCUUUCUUUUAGAUUUUCUCUAUGACAUACCUCCUGAAAUUCCACACUUUGAUUUUCUUUCGUAAAUUUGCCCCCCCACAGAAUUAUUUAUAACUCAAAAUCAAAUAAUAUACGACACAACUUGUUUAUCCAUUCAACAGUCAGGGACACUUGGGCUGCCUCCAGAAUUUGGCUAUUGUAGCUAACGCUGCUGUAAACAUCAAGAUACACAUAUCCCCUUGAAUUGGAGUUUGAGAGACAGCACAUUCCUCAGUGGGGGAGGGGCAGAGGGCAUCCCAAGCAGAUUCCAUGCUCAGCCCUGAACUAACUCAGGGCUCCACGCCACCACCGUGAGAUCAUGACCUGAGCAGCACUCAAGAGUCGGAGCUUAACCGACUGAGCCACCCGGGCGCCAUAUCUCGUUCUGCUUUGAACCACCUUGUUUUUCUGACAGAGUUGUGUCUAGGAAGAAGCCCCUGGAUAGUCUCCUUUGGGAGCUUAUCCCUUCCUUAAAACACCAUGCUUUCUUGAGUCAUCGGACUGUCCUCCCAACUACUAAGACAAAAGCCGGCUGAGGAAGCUUGAUUGCGAAAUAGCAGCUUAAAUUCAGGCCCCAGUAUUGUGCUUAAAAUGAAGGUCUCACUUUUUGCCAUCUAUUUUUAUGGGAUUCGUAGGCUAUUGUACUGCAUAGUCCAGGCCCUUAAAGCUGGCCUACUUGAUAUGGGUCAGAACAACACGACUGACCACAUGAAAAGAGAGGGCCCUCUGACUUUUUCUGCAGUUCGUCAAAGGCAACAGGAUGUUCACUGGGAGGUGCACGGGGUACAGCUUGGAGACUCUGGACUAUCAGAGCAACUCCUUCUUCCUUCCCGUCUCUGACAAUGCUCUGUGCUCUACCCAGAAGGGCUGGAGACGGCAAUGAAGCUCACUGGGGUUCUACUCAUACCUCGUGGGGCUGCAUAAAGAUCCCCUGCUUUAGAGAAAAAAGAACCCGCCUCCGAUUCCAGGCCGAGAACCAGAAUGUCAGUCCUGAAGCAACCUGUGCCUUGUAGCAUCUGGACCAUCGGCUCAUUGAGGAAGUAUCAUGUUUGAUACAUAACUCCCACCCCCCCCGACAUUCCAAGAUCAAAUAUUGAAUGGAACUUUAAAGAUGACAUAGGUAACUGAACGGCCUCUGGGGAAGCAUUGUUCCAAUUCGGAGCAGUUUCAAGCAGUUUCCGGGUGAAUAAUGAGAUCAGAGCUGUAAGAGCCCACCAGGUUCUCCAGCCUGAUUCUGUCGAGGAAACUGAAGAGCAGAUAAGUAAAUUUAUGUGCCCAAGGUCACUUAGCUAGUUCGCGUUUCCAACCGGAACUCACUUCGAACAUCCCGCAUCCAUGCGGACAGUCCUCACCUUCGGUCUGCCGUUCCUGCUGGGUAUGGAAGCCCUGCUCCCCAAGAGAUUUAGAACAUUCUUCCCAGGAUGGCACAGCAUCUCCAGAUACUCCCGCCCCAGAAAACCAUCCGCCUGCUGCAGCAAAUGCCUGCCUGUGUCCUCAGGGCUACACUCCCUGGGACAGGGGUGCUCCCCUGCAGUAACGCUGGAGCUGUUCCUGCCACAGCAGCCCUGACCCAGCUGGCAGAGGCCCAUCUGCUCCGAGACCGGCCUCCCUGCCUCCUUCCAGCACCACAUGGCGGCUGGACAGUGAGGGCCUCGCUCCCCUCCCGUGGAAAGACCGAGCACAGCAGAAGACCUUGAACCGACAAGAAAUGUUCCAUCCCUGUUUACCGAGGGCGACUAUCUGCCGGCCGGCAAGCCACCGUGAUUUUCAUCAGGACGGCCGGAUUUAGGAAAUACAAAUACAGGACGCCCGGUUGCGUUUGCCUUUCAGGAAGGCCGUUGUUGUUCCCUUCUUAAGCAGAACCUUAGGAAAGUGCACGUAAGUAUACUGCAGUACAUUUUCACAAAGUGAGUAAUGGCCAUGUGGCCAGCACCCAGAUUGAGAAACAUAAUCAGCACAUAAUCAGCACAUAAUUAGCAUUCCAGAUGCCCGUUUCUUGUCUACUUCCAGCCGUUUAUCCCCUUCCCAAGGGUAACUGCUAUCCUGAAUUCUGAGACCAUUACAGUAAAACCUUGGAUCAUGAGUAACUCGUUCUGAGUGUUCUGCAAGACGAGCAAAGAUUUCUCAUAAAUUUUAACUUGAUAAAUGAGCAAUGUCUUGCAAUAUGAAUAGUACAUGAUGCCGAAUGUCACAUGACCACAACCGAGCCAAUGAUUCUUCUCCGUCUCUCGCUCUCCCUCUCUCUUUCUGCGGGAUUGUGCGUGAUUGUCUCCCAUGUUCAGAUGCUUGGCCUCAGGCUGCAGUGUUUGGCAGAAAUCAGUGACAUUUCAGAAUGUUGGAAGGUGACCACAACUGGCACUAGGGUAUUUUUUGUCACUUCAAAGCACCUAUGGA